UACGUAGGGGGCAAGCGUUAUCCGGAUUUACUGGGUGUAAAGGGAGCGUAGACGGCGAUGCAAGCCAGAUGUGAAAGCCCGGGGCUCAACCCCGGGACUGCAUUUGGAACUGUAUAGCUAGAGUGUCGGAGAGGCAGGCGGAAUUCCUAGUGUAGCGGUGAAAUGCGUAGAUAUUAGGAGGAACACCAGUGGCGAAGGCGGCUUACUGGACUGUAAAUGACGCUGAGGCUCGAAAGCGUGGGGAGCAAACAGG
rnacentral:rRNA from 1 species